GACGAACGCUGGCGGCGUGCCUAAUACAUGCAAGUCGAGCGAAGUUUUUCUGGUGCUUGCACCGGAAAAACUUAGCGGCGAACGGGUGAGUAACACGUAAAGAACCUGCCUUAUAGACUGGGACAACUAUUGGAAACGAUAGCUAAUACCGGAUAACAGCAUUAACUGCAUGGUUGAUGUUUGAAAGUUGGUUUUGCUAACACUAUGAGAUGGCUUUGCGGUGCAUUAGCUAGUUGGUGGGGUAAAGGCCUACCAAGGCGACGAUGCAUAGCCGACCUGAGAGGGUGAUCGGACACACUGGGACUGAGACACGGCCCAGACUCCUGCGGGGGGCAGCAGUAGGGAAUCUUCCGCAAUGGGCGAAAGCCUGACGGAGCAACGCCGCGUGAGUGAAGAAGGAUUUCGGUUCGUAAAGCUCUGUUGUUAGGGAAGAAUGAUUGUGUAGUAACUAUACACAGUAGAGACGGUACCUAACCAGAAAGCCACGGCUAACUACGUG
rnacentral:rRNA from 1 species